GUACACGCUGUGACUAGCAUAUCAAUAAGCGGAGGAAAAGAAACUAACAAGGAUUCCCUCAGUAACGGCGAGUGAAGCGGGAAGAGCUCAAAUUUGAAAUCUUGAAAGGUCACCUUUCACGAAUUGUAGUUUAAAGAAGUGUUUUCUGUUACGAUCGUAAUAUAAGUUCUUUGGAAUAGGACAUCACAGAGGGUGAGAAUCCCGUCUAUGAUUGCGAUUUGUAGCUUUGUGAUACACUUUCAAAGAGUCGGGUUGUUUGGGAAUGCAGCCCAAAACGGGAGGUAAAUUUCUUCUAAGGCUAAAUAUUGGCGAGAGACCGAUAGCGAACAAGUACCGUGAGGGAAAGAUGAAAAGAACUUUGAAAAGAGAGUUAAAUAGUACGUGAAAUUGUCAGAAGGGAAGCGUUUGACACCAGUGUUGUUUUCUGAAAAUCAACCUCUGUUAGCUUUAUGCAUGUUUGUUUAGACCUAAUCAGCUAUCUUGCAUGUUCUAUUGUUUGCAGUGGUGCACUUUUCAGUUUACAGGUCAACAUCAGUUUUUUUUACCGUAAAAAAGUUAAAGAAAGGUAGCUCAUGGCUCCGGUCGUGAGUGUUAUAGUCUUUUUCCUAUGCGGUAGGAGAGACUGAGGUCUGCAGUGUAGGCUAUUUGGCUAGAUACUCAGGUGCUAUGUGAUACCAUUCCAUAAACAACUUGUUGAUUAUGUUUUGUCUAUUGCAUACUCGCUUGUACUAUCAUACCUACGCUUAGGAUGUUGAACUACUGAGACAUAGA
rnacentral:rRNA from 1 species